GAACUUUUAUCUUGAAAAGAGGGUGUUUUGAAAGCACUUUUAAGAGGUUAAAAUCCUCUAAAGUUUU
rnacentral:tRNA from 1 species